rnacentral:rRNA from 1 species
UACAGAGGUCUCAAGCGUUGUUCGGAUUCAUUGGGCGUAAAGGGUGCGUAGGCGGCGCGGUAAGUCGGGUGUGAAAUCUUGGAGCUUAACUCCGAAACUGCAUUCGAUACUGCCGUGCUUGAGGACUGGAGAGGAGACUGGAAUUUACGGUGUAGCGGUGAAAUGCGUAGAUAUCGUAAGGAAGACCAGUGGCGAAGGCGGGUCUCUGGACAGUUCCUGACGCUGAGGCACGAAGGCCCAGGGGAGCAAACGGA